rnacentral:rRNA from 1 species
AGAGUUUGAUCAUGGCUCAGGACGAACGCUGGCGGCACGCUUAACACAUGCAAGUCGAACGAGAGAAGAGGAGCUUGCUUUUCUGAUCUAGUGGCGGACGGGUGAGUAACACGUGAGCAAUCUGCCUUUCAGAGGGGGAUACCGAUUGGAAACGAUCGUUAAUACCGCAUAACAUAAUUGAACCGCAUGAUUUGAUUAUCAAAGAUUUAUCGCUGAAAGAUGAGCUCGCGUCUGAUUAGCUAGUUGGUAAGGUAACGGCUUACCAAGGCGACGAUCAGUAGCCGGACUGAGAGGUUGAUCGGCCACAUUGGGACUGAGACACGGCCCAGACUCCUACGGGAGGCAGCAGUGGGGAAUAUUGCACAAUGGAGGAGACUCUGAUGCAGCGAUGCCGCGUGAGGGAAGAAGGUUUUAGGAUUGUAAACCUCUGUCUUCAGGGACGAAAAAAGACGGUACCUGAGGAGGAAGCUCCGGCUAACUACGUGCCAGCAGCCGCGGUAAUACGUAGGGAGCGAGCGUUGUCCGGAAUUACUGGGUGUAAAGGGAGCGUAGGCGGGAUCGCAAGUCAGAUGUGAAAACUAUGGGCUUAACCCAUAAACUGCAUUUGAAACUGUGGUUCUUGAGUGAAGUAGAGGUAAGCGGAAUUCCUAGUGUAGCGGUGAAAUGCGUAGAUAUUAGGAGGAACAUCAGUGGCGAAGGCGGCUUACUGGGCUUUAACUGACGCUGAGGCUCGAAAGCGUGGGGAGCAAACAGGAUUAGAUACCCUGGUAGUCCACGCCGUAAACGAUGAUUACUAGGUGUGGGGGGACUGACCCCUUCCGUGCCGCAGCAAACGCAAUAAGUAAUCCACCUGGGGAGUACGACCGCAAGGUUGAAACUCAAAGGAAUUGACGGGGGCCCGCACAAGCAGUGGAGUAUGUGGAUUAAUUCGAAGCAACGCGAAGAACCUUACCAGGUCUUGACAUCGUAUGCAUAGCUCAGAGAUGAGUGAAAUCUCUUCGGAGACAUAUAGACAGGUGGUGCAUGGUUGUCGUCAGCUCGUGUCGUGAGAUGUUGGGUUAAGUCCCGCAACGAGCGCAACCCUUACUGUUAGUUGCUACGCAAGAGCACUCUAGCAGGACUGCCGUUGACAAAACGGAGGAAGGUGGGGAUGACGUCAAAUCAUCAUGCCCCUUAUGACCUGGGCCUCACACGUACUACAAUGGCUGUCAACAGAGUGAAGCAAAGCCGCGAGGUGGAGCGAACCCCUAAAAGCAGUCUUAGUUCGGAUUGUAGGCUGCAACCCGCCUACAUGAAGUCGGAAUUGCUAGUAAUCGCAGAUCAGCAUGCUGCGGUGAAUACGUUCCCGGGCCUUGUACACACCGCCCGUCACGCCAUGGGAGUCGGUAACACCCGAAGCCUGUAGCCUAACCGCAAGGAGGACGCAGUCGAAGGUGGGAUUGAUGACUGGGGUGAAGUCGUGACAAGGUA